rnacentral:rRNA from 1 species
GUAGGUGGCAAGCGUUGUCCGGAAUUAUUGGGCGUAAAGCGCGCGCAGGCGGUCCUUUAAGUCUGAUGUGAAAGCCCACGGGCUCAACCGUGGAGGGUCAUUGGAAACUGGGGGACUUGAGUACAGAAGAGGAAAGCGGAAUUCCAAGUGUAGCGGUGAAAUGCGUAGAGAUUUGGAGGAACACCAGUGGCGAAGGCGGCUUUCUGGUCUGUAACUGACGCUGAGGCGCGAAAGCGUGGGGAGCAAACAGGAUUAGAUACCCUGGUAGUCCACGCCGUAAACGAUGAGUGCUAAGUGUUAGGGGGUUUCCGCCCCUUAGUGCUGCAGCUAACGCAUUAAGCACUCCGCCUGGGGAGUACGGCUGCAAAGGCUG